AGAGGUCUUGAUGCAGCUAGUAAAUACACUCUUUUGAGAAGUAGAGAUUUUCUAGAGAGAAGGAGGCAUCGACUGUUAAGGAACAGAGUUUUUUGUGCAGCUGCAAAUAGAACGAGACAAGCGACUGAAGAAGAUGUACCUGAUCUCUGUGUGAUCUGCUUUGACCGAAAGUGUGACGCCGUUUUUGUUGAGUAAGAGCACAGCCU